AUUGAACGCUGGCGGCAGGCCUAACACAUGCAAGUCGAACGAGUGGCGGACGGGUGAGUAAUGUCUGGGAAACUGCCUGAUGGAUGGGGAUAACUACUGGAAACGGUAGCUAAUACCGCAUACCAUCAGAUGUGCCCAGAUGGGAUUAGCUUGUUGGUGGGGUAACGGCUCACCAAGCCGACGAUCCCUAGCUGGUCUGUGAGGAUGACCAGCCAUAACGGAACUGAGUCACGGUCCAGACUACUACGGGAGGCAGUAGUGGUGAAUAUUGCACAAGUGGCGCAAGCCUGAUGCAGGCAUGCCGCGUGUAUGAAGAAGGCCUUCGGGUUGUAAAGUACUUUCAGCGGGGAGGCGUGACCCGCAGAAGAAGCCCCGGCUAACCCUGAGCCAGCAGCCGCGGUAAUAC
rnacentral:rRNA from 1 species